AACGUAGGAGACAACCGUUAUCCGGAGUUACUGGGCGUAAAGGGCGUGUAGGUGGUAUCGUAAGUCUGGCGUGAAAUUUCUCGGCUUAACCGAGGCAGGUCGUCGGAUACUGCGAGGCUAGAGGACGGUAGAGGCGUGUGGAAUUCCGGGUGUAGUGGUGAAAUGCGUAGAGAUCCGGAGGAACACCAGUGGCGAAGGCGACACGCUGGGCCGUACCUGACACUGAUGCGCGAAAGCUAGGGGAGCAAACGGG
rnacentral:rRNA from 1 species